UGCUUCCCAUGAAUCUAAUGUAGUCACUAAAAUCACUCUUAUUACAGUGAUAUAGUAGAUUCAAAUUUACCAUGAUGUUAUUCCCAUACAUUGUUUUUUUACGUUUCGUUUUACUUGCUAUAUUACCUACUUCAGUCCUACAUUUUAUAAAAUAUAUAUUAGGUAACUACUACACUUUUUGAUAAAAUUACAAAUUCAGAAAAUAAAGACAAUGAUAAUUCAGGGAAUGGCAAAGUGUUCAAACAUACCAAAGUAUUAACGAUAAAGAUUAACGUAUCGAAUUAUCUCGUAUAACGAAACGUAAGUACAUCAACAAAGAAAAAUGGCAGAUAGGUGGCGUCUUGCGUAUAAUUAGACAUUCUAAUAUUUAUUAAAUUCUUAAAUUUAUCUAUGAAUAUUUGCAGUCAUCGCUGUGUAUCAUUUUUUAAUCAAUCAUUUUGAUAUAAUUACCGAUACUGUGAUCUUUUCCGUAAUACUGAGUACAUUAUUCAGUGAAAUCAGAAUGUUGUGUGCUGAAGGGAGCUCUAUUAUUUUAUAACUCUAUCGACUAGACCGCGAAAUAAACUAAAUUCAAAUUAUUCAAAAGUGUUAAAACUAUUCAAUAUAGGAUAUUAAAAAAUGGUAGAUUUAAAAGCCUGUAGAGUGUGCCUCGCCACCGAUGUGAAGAUACAUAGCUUACGAGGAUAUCCACUUGAAGCUUAUUUUGAGGCUAUCGUUGGCAUGAAUCCCCUGUAUUUUGCUGAUUUACCACUGUACGCCUGCUAUGAAUGUGCAGCACUCAUAAAAAAGUACAAUAUCUUCAGAGAAAAAUGUUUGAAGGGUCAAACUGUUUUGUAUACUAUACUGCAGAAACAUGGCCAAAUAACAUUAGACAACAUUAAAGAACUUGAUAGAGAAAAACUCAAUCUUUCUUCCAAUUAUAAUCAGUUCCUUUUAUUCAAAGAUGAGUUGCUUGUACAGGGUACUGACUUGGAAUCUGAAACUCAUGUCAAACAGGAAACUGCUAAUGAAAACUUGGAAUUGUUAGAAAACUUCCUUCCUCUGACCGAGCCCCACAAUCUUGAGUUUGAUGUGGACGUAGAUGUACAAGUGAAGCUUCUGAAGACUGAAGAUGACUAUGCAGACUUGCCAUCAUUAGGGCCAGACUCCACAGAUGAUGAUGAACCACUCGCCACACACAAAAGCCUUAAAGAGAAAUCUGUUAAGAAAGACAAGAAGAAGAAAGUGAAAAAAGAUGGUAAGAAAAAGAAGAAAGAACCCAUUACUAAACUGGAAGAAUUAGAUUUGUCUCAGGAGAUAUUUGAUGAAAUUAAUGGUGAAGUGGAGUUGCCAAUUUUGCCAACAGAAGCCUUAGAGCCUGAAGUAAAGAAGGCCAAGAGAGGGCGUCCAAGAAAGACUGAGGCCAAGACUGUGGAGCCCAAAGCUAAGACUCGGCGGACCACCAACACCGGCGGCGUGGCGGCUGAUGAAGCUGACUUGGAGGAAUAUGUUAAUGUUAUUAAAUUAUCGGUAGAGGAGCAAAUAGCAGAGAUAACCUCGCGGCAGCAGUCGUCCAACUACCUGAACGCCCCGUUCCAGUGCAGCCUGUGCUACAAGGGGUUCAUAGACACGCACGCCUGGAAGCAUCAUGUGGGGAAACAUGGGCCUAGCGCGGGCGACGUGGAGUGUCCCAUCUGCAAGUUCCGCUUCAAGACGAAGCGCGCGCUUCAGAAGCACGCCGCCAACCACGAGAAGAAGUACGCGUGCAAGUCCUGUCCCUACGUGUCCAAGACCACGACUCAAGCAAAGCAACAUCAUAGGUGGCAUAAAGGUGUCACGUACAAAUGUCAAUACUGUGACGAAGUUUCUACCAAAUGGACCUCCUACCUCAGCCACGUGCGCAUCAAGCACCCGUCAGAGUUCAUAUGCGGCGUCUGCGGGUACUCGUUCGUGAGCAAACUGGGACUUACUAUGCACAAGAGCAUGAUGCAUAAGGAUGUCAUUGCUCAAGAAGAGGCACAAGGCGCCGACACGGGCGGCCCGUACUGCGAGCUGUGCUCCGUGCAGUUCACGUCCGCGCAGGCGUGGAAGCGACACAUGGUCACGUCCGUCAAGCACACGCAGGCCACGCACUUCAAUAAUGGCUGUCGAGUCUGCGGUGAAAGUUUCAAAUCUCCGGAAGAGUUGAGAAUUCACCAUAGAAAGGAACAUGCGAGGAAACGACCGAAGAACUACGGCAAGAAGCCUCCCAUCAUGACGUGGCCUUCUAAGUGUGAACAUUGUGAGGAAGAGAUCCCGAACGCGCGCGAGUACUGGACUCACUUCCGGCGCGCACACCCGGACCGGCAGUACCCCAUACAGAAGAGCUACAUCUGCGAGAUCUGCGGCAAGAGCUUCCGAGGCAACGCGUUCCUAGUCUACCACAAGAGAACGCACUUCGAGGAACGCGCUUACAAAUGCGCUCAGUGCCCGAAGGCGUUCUUCAACCGCACCAACCUGCAGAUGCACGAGAAAACACACAGUGAUCGCCGCCCGUACCCCUGCACUGUUUGUUUUAAGGCUUUCAAGUGUAAAGGAGCUUUGGAUCGACAUUUUAGGAGUCACACUGGCGUGAAACCCUAUACCUGCGAAUUCUGUGGCAAAUCGUUCGGCCAGUCCAACAGUCGCAAGCUACACGUGAGGACGGUGCACCUGAGGCAACCCGCGCCCUACGUGAGCCGCGCGAGGCAGGAGCGACGCCGCACGUAGCCACAGAGGUGACAGACAGAUACACACACACAGUCCAACAGUCGCAAGCUACACGUGAGGACGGUGCACCUGAGGCAACCCGCGCCCUACGUGAGCCGCGCGAGGCAGGAGCGACGCCGCACGUAGCCACAGAGGUGACAGACAGAUACACACACACAGUCCAACAGUCGCAAGCUACACGUGAGGACGGUGCACCUGAGGCAACCCGCGCCCUACGUGAGCCGCGCGAGGCAGGAGCGACGCCGCACGUAGCCACAGAGGUGACAGACAGAUACACACACACAGUCCAACAGUCGCAAGCUACACGUGAGGACGGUGCACCUGAGGCAACCCGCGCCCUACGUGAGCCGCGCGAGGCAGGAGCGACGCCGCACGUAGCCACAGAGGUAUACAAUUAUGGUUGAAGCCACCGGUGCAGUGCAGAUAUCAUCAGCUAAUUAAGAUCACGAAACUAUAAACAAGGACUUUUUGGCAAUAGGUAGAUACUUGUGCCUUUU